rnacentral:piRNA from 1 species
UCGCUCGCUUUCUCUCUGUGCCACAAACU